AUUUUUAUAGUUUAUGUAAAACAUUAUAUUUUCAAUAUAAAAUAUAUAUUAUAUAUAAUU
rnacentral:tRNA from 1 species